UACGAAGGGUGCAAGCGUUACUCGGAAUUACUGGGCGUAAAGGGUGCGUAGGUGGCGGGGUAAGUCAGGUGUGAAAUUUCGGAGCUUAACUCCGAAACUGCAUUUGAUACUGCCUUGCUUGAGGACUGGAGAGGAGACUGGAAUUCACGGUGUAGCAGUGAAAUGCGUAGAUAUCGUGAGGAAGACCAGUGGCGAAGGCGGGUCUCUGGACAGUUCCUGACACUGAGGCACGAAGGCCAGGGGAGCAAACGGG
rnacentral:rRNA from 1 species